GUGACAGCAGCCGCGGUAAAACGUAGGAUCCGAGCGUUAUCCGAAUUCACUGGGCGUAAAGCGCGUGUAGGCGGUCUUAUAAGUUGGAUGUGAAAUCUCCUGGCUCAACUAGGAGAGGCCGUUCAAUACUGUAAGACUAGAGGGCAGUAGAGGGAGGUGGAAUUCCCGGUGUAGUGGUGAAAUGCGUAGAUAUCGGGAGGAACACCAGUGGCGAAGGCGGCCUCCUGGACUGUACCUGACGCUCAGACGCGAAAGCUAGGGGAGCGAACGGGAUUAGAAACCCCGGUAGUCC
rnacentral:rRNA from 1 species